rnacentral:rRNA from 1 species
AAAUAUGAGAGUUUGAUCCUGGCUCAGGAUGAACGCUGGCGGCGUGCUUAACACAUGCAAGUCGAACGAAGCAUUUAAACU